AGAGAGAGAGAGAGAGAGAGAGAGAGAGAGGAGAGUGAAGCUGUGGUAGAGACACCAGCAGGUGCUGAGGAUAGAAGCAAACAGGGUGCCAAAAAAAAGCGAAAAGUGUGUGAAUAGAUACAACUAAAGAACAGAAAAUAGUCAGACAUAAACUAUCAUGCAGUCCUAAGCUGGAGACCACUUAUAUUCAGCACCCCCGCACCCCCCCCACGGUGAGCUCUUUACCCUCCUUUCCUCGUACGGAUUCUCCCUCCUCCUCCUCCUCCUCCUCCUUCCUAUUCGUCUUUGACAGACAGCCACCAUGGACACCGGGAGCCCCAGGAAGAUACAGUUCACCGUUCCCCUGCUGGACACCCACCUGGACCCGGAGGCAGCAGAACAGAUCAGAAGACGCAGACCGACACCUGCUACGUUAGUGGCAUCCAGUGAUCAAUCAUCCCCUGAAAUAGAUGAAGAUCGGCUCCCAAACCAGUUGUAUAAGGCUGCCUUGUUGAACUCCCCUCGACAACGGCGAAAAGGGCCGAAGGGAACACCUACAAUGAAAGAGCUUCAGUUCAUGGUAGAGCAUCACCUGUACAGGCAGCAGCAGGGUGCCGGGGACGAGUGCUCCUCGGAGAGCUGCCUGUCGGACCGCCCCAGCCCCGACUCCUUCCCCACCGGGGAGGAGCUCCCGCACGAUGACGAGGCCACCGCAGAGGCCUUUGAGAAACUGCGCUGCCAAAUGGAGGUUCAACCUCCAUUUGUCCCUCCGGCCCCCUGCAGAGUUCUCAAGGGAGAGUCUAUUAGAAGCUGCCGGCGGACUCGAGUGUCCCCUCACCAAGGAGGGUGAGGAUCGCUCCGGCGUUGCCAGCGUAGCAGAUCCCUCGACGCAACAAAACAACGCACAACCAGACACAAAAGCUGUAGCGUCCACACCAAAUCAGGCGGCACAGGAGAAGACAAAGAAAAGCAGCAUGAAGAAAGGGAAGUAGAGCAGCAACACAAAGCUGCUCGCUUGUCUCGGCCAGCCUCACACAUUACAGAAAAUUUUGUCUGCAGAUCCACUUUGUUGAUACAGUAGAUCAGGGCGUCGACGUUCUUCUGCAGUCAGGCCUCAGUUACCAUCCAGAGAACAAGAGCCGGGUUCUACACUUAUUUGUUGUCAAAAACUACGCUACUUAGGAUACAUGCACAAUGCCCCCCUUGAUGUUCAAAACUGUUCCACCCACAAUCGUUUUAGACAGUUUGUCAUGAUGUGCCAUGACUCCUUAAAAAAAAGUUUUAUCUCAAAGCAAUACAAUUGUAUCUGUACCUCAUAAAAAACAGGGACCGAAACCAAUCAUUUUAGUCAUUCCUAAAUAAGUGGGUAACACAUCUGGUUGAUUGACAGUUUAAAGUAAAACUAUAUUAAAGUUCGUUUUGAUUACUUUAUUGGACAGCUAACUGGAUUGAAACAAUUGGUCAAUUCAGCAUUUUUUCUUUCCUAGAUUAAAUAUGUUAGAGGUUUCGACUGUUGGUUGGACAAAAAUAGACAUUUCAAAACUCCAAAUCUGUGCAUCUCUGCACAAAGCAGAAACCUCAUCAUUCCAACCAUAGACAUAUACAUAAAGGCUAGAUGUCUUAAGGCGGAGUA